UACGGGGGGAGCAAGCGUUGUUCGGAUUUACUGGGCGUAAAGGGCGCGUAGGCGGUCGUGACAAGUCACUUGUGAAAUCUCCGGGCUUAACUCGGAACGGUCAAGUGAUACUGUCGGACUAGAGUACAGAAGGGGCAACUGGAAUUCUCGGUGUAGCGGUGAAAAUGCGUAGAUAUCGAGAGGAACACCUGCGGCGAAGGCGGGUUGCUGGGCUGAUACUGACGCUGAGGCGCGAAAGCCAGGGGAGCGAACAGG
rnacentral:rRNA from 1 species